GACGAACGCUGGCGGCGUGCCUAAUACAUGCAAGUCGAGCGCUGAAGGUUGGUACUUGUACCAACUGGAUUAGCAGCGAACGGGUGAGUAACGCGUGGGGAAUCUGCCUUUGAGCGGGGGACAACAUUUGGAAACGAAUGCUAAUACCGCAUAAUAACUUUAAACACAAGUUUUAAGUUUGAAAGAUGCAAUUGCAUCACUCAAAGAUGAUCCCGCGUUGUAUUAGCUAGUUGGUGAGGUAAAGGCUCACCCAGGCGAAGAUACCUAGCCGACCUGAGAGGGUGGUCGGGCACAACUGGAACGGGGACCGGCCCCAGAUUCUACGGGGAGGAGCAGGAGGGGAUCUUCGGCAAUGGAGGGAAAGCCGACCGAACAAAGCCGGGGUGGGUGAGGAAGUUUUCGGAUCGGUAAACUCUGUUUGUAGGGAAAGAAGUUAGUGAGAGUGAAACGCUCAUGAAGUGACGGUAACUACCCAGAAAGGGACGGCUAACUACGUG
rnacentral:rRNA from 1 species